UCCGGUUUGACACCGGCAGUCUCGUUAGAGUCCUCGGCAUUACCCGUUAGCAACUAACGACAGGGGUUGCGCUCGUUAAGGGACUUAACCCGACACUUCACAGCACGAGCUGACGACAGCCAUGCAGCACCUGUGCAUGUUCCACUCUUGCGAGCGUCAUUCCUGUUUCCAGGAACUAAUCCAUGCAUGUCAAACCCAGGUAAGGUUCUUCGCGUUGCUUCGAAUUAAGCAACAUGCUCCACCGCUUGUGUGAGCCCCCGUCAAUUCCUUUGAGUUUUAGCCUUGCGACCGUACUUCCCAGGCGGCGCACUUAACAAUUUCUCUCCGACCAACACAGGGUCAGACCUGCAUCGGUCUAGUGCGCAUCGUUUACAGCGUGGACUAC
rnacentral:misc_RNA from 1 species